GCCAACAGCCAUACUACGCUGAAUGCACCGGUUCUCAUCCGAUCACCGAAGUUAAGCAGCGUUAGGCGCGGUUAGUACUUGGAUGGGUGACCAAAAACUACAAAGCGCA
rnacentral:rRNA from 1 species